UAUAGAUUAAAGCAAGCUUCUCAGAGUUGGAACAUAUGUUUUGAUAAGGUGAUCAAAACGUAUGGCUUCGUUAAGAAUGGAGAAAAGCCCUGCAUUUAUAAAUAGGCAAAUGGUCUAGUUGUGGUAUUCUUUGUCUUGUACGUGGAUGACAUUCUCUUAAUCGAAAAUAACAUCCCCGCACUACAGAAAAUAAAAGUUUGAUUGUCAUCGCAGUUCU
rnacentral:lncRNA from 1 species